GACGAACGCUGGCGGCGUGCCUAAUACAUGCAAGUAGAACGCUGAAGAGAGGAGCUUGCUCUUCUUGGAUGAGUUGCGAACGGGUGAGUAACGCGUAGGUAACCUGCCUGGUAGCGGGGGAUAACUAUUGGAAACGAUAGCUAAUACCGCAUAAAAUUGAUUAUUGCAUGAUAAUUAAUUGAAAGAUGCAAUUGCAUCACUACCAGAUGGACCUGCGUUGUAUUAGCUAGUUGGUGAGGUAACGGCUCACCAAGGCGACGAUACAUAGCCGACCUGAGAGGGUGAUCGGCCACACUGGGACUGAGACACGGCCCAGACUCCUACGGGAGGCAGCAGUAGGGAAUCUUCGGCAAUGGGGGGAACCCUGACCGAGCAACGCCGCGUGAGUGAAGAAGGUUUUCGGAUCGUAAAGCUCUGUUGUAAGAGAAGAACGGGUGUGAGAGUGGAAAGUUCACACUGUGACGUAUCUACCAGAAAGACGCA
rnacentral:rRNA from 1 species